CCUACGGGUGGCAGCAGUGGGGAAUAUUGCGCAAUGGGCGAAAGCCUGACGCAGCGACGCAGCGUGAGGGAUGAAGGUCUUCGGAUCGUAAACCUCCGUCAGCAGGGAAGUACGGUCACUGUGCUAAUCAGCAGUGAAUUGACGGUAUCUGCAAAGGAAGCACCGGCUAACUCCGUGACAGGAGUCGCGGCAAAACGGAGGGUGCGUGCGGUAAUCGGAAUUACUGGGAGUAAAGCGCUCGUAGGCGGUAUGUCAAGUCAAGGGUGAAAUCCCCGCGCUCAACGUGGGAACUGCCUUUGAAACUGGCAAACUGGAGUGUGUGAGAGGAUAGUGGAAUUCCAGGUGUAGGAGUGAAAUCCGUAGAUAUCUGGAGGAACAUCAGUGGCGAAGGCGACUAUCUGGCACAUAACUGACGCUGAGGAGCGAAAGCGUGGGUAGCAAACAGGAUUAGAUACCCUAGUAGUC
rnacentral:rRNA from 1 species